GAGAUGAGAAUUCACCACUUUAAGAUGGUUAUUGUUCAUCCUAAAGUAACCAGCAACCGCAACAACACAAAAUGACAUUUGACACCCGAACGUCCAAGGGCAAAAUUAUCCAUAUUGCACUGCAUUGCUCAAAACUAAAAUCCGACAAUACCGCAAGGUCCGUUUCAUCACCAGUAACAUUUUGUCUUUUGUCACUGAUGCCGACUUCUGCUCCACGCGCCACCAUGCGCCUUGCCGG
rnacentral:lncRNA from 1 species